UGUAAUUUAUAGAGAGUUAUAACGAAGCUUCGUUAUAUGAGAACCCGAAAUUAGUAUUACAAAUACAGAAUAAGGAUUUUAUUCAUCACAUUCAUCUAGCACCUACACAAUUCCACAUCCAUCUUACUCUUAAAUAAAUUGAUGGUGUUGGAAACACUCAUCAUAUGCCAACUAUCCCACUAAACACUCAUCAUUCCACUAAACACUCAUUAUUCCACACACUCAUCAUUCCACUAAACACUCUUUACACCUUCUUUUGCCAGCCAUCUUCUACACUUUAACAUCUCAACAUGCAAUUAGCUUUUAUUUAAUCAAAAUCAGCAACCAACAUUCCUCCCAUUCCUCCUAACAUUCUGAUCCAAGCUAUUCUUAUGCUUGAAUUAUAAUUCACUGAUUCCAGCUUUCCAAAUCAGUUUCCAAGAUUUCCCAAAACAAGAAAGAGAUCCAAUUUUGGUGAAUUCAGAAAGAAGAUUUUCCUCAUUUCCUACUCAUAUCAAGGUUACCUCCUACUUUACUUUCUCCAUACAUUCAUUUGUUAAAUUACAAAACUAUGAUUCAAAUGAAAACAGAUCGAACACACGCAUCCAUUACCACUUCUUUUAGACUAUUAUUGUUUCAAUUACAUCAGCUUAUUACCAUCAGAGAACCACCAACAGAAUAAUACACACGCACACAUUUUACUAUAUUUCUAUCUAUUACAAGUACAGAUCAGUUUUUGUAAAUAGAAAUGAAUGAAAAUGAACAGAAUUGAAACCCUAAGUGCUCUAUGUGUGUUUUGUGCGUGUGACUGGAAUUUGGGGGGGGUGAGAGCAGUCGGCGGCUGCUCGCGGCCGGAGGCGGCGCGGCGGCAGUCGCCGCCUUUUUCCUUUGUCUGUCUGAAACGAGAGAGAGAUGGUUAGGGCUGCUGUAAAAAUAAAAAAAAAAAAAAGAGAGAGAAGAGAAGGUAGAACAGGGGAGGGAGAGAGAGAGAUAGGAGGGAGAACUUAUCUUCUCCGGUGACGACGAUGCGGCGGCAUCGGCAGCGGCGACACGGCAGCGGGAGCACCGAGCUGUUCCUGGUCGGCCGGAAAAGAGAAAAAGAGGGGGAGCUCAGAUCUGGAGCCUACCUUCCCGGCGAGGCAAGGCUCGGCCUCCACCGCGAUUCCAGCAAGACGAACGACGGGAGCGGCGACGCUCGGCUCUUCCCCGUGAGUCCGGCAGUGGUUGUGGACGGCGAAGAUGGAUGCGACGGUGGGGGUAGCCUCUGCUGCCCUAUUCCGAGCAAGGAGCCGUGGCUCUGUUUUUCCGGCGCGAUAGAGAGAGAAGAGGAGAGACCGAGAGUAUGAGAGGGGGAGGGGAGAUGCACGGCGAGGCGGCGCGCCGGAGGCGGCGCCGCACUCGACCGAGCAGAGAGAGAGAGGCGAGAGAGCCGAG